UCCAGACUCCUACGGGAGGCAGCAGUGGGGGAUAUUGCACAAUGGGGGGAACCCUGAUGCAGCGACGCCGCGUGGGUGAAGGAGCGUUUCGGCGCGUAAAGCCCUAUCGGCAGGGAAGAAGGAGGACGGUACCUGACUAAGAAGCCCCGGCUAACUACGUGCCAGCAGCCGCGGUAAUACGUAGGGGGCAAGCGUUAUCCGGAUUUACUGGGUGUAAAGGGAGCGUAGACGGCUGUGCAAGUCAGAAGUGAAAGCCCGGGGCUCAACCGCGGGACUGCUUUUGAAACUGUGUAGCUGGAGUGCAGGAGAGGUAAGUGGAAUUCCUAGUGUAGCGGUGAAAUGCGUAGAUAUUAGGAGGAACACCGGUGGCGAAGGCGGCUUACUGGACUGUAACUGACGUUGAGGCUCGAAAGCGUGGGGAGCAAACAGGAUUAGAUACCCUAGUAU
rnacentral:rRNA from 1 species